GCCAACCCCCAAUGGGCCAGUGCGGAGCCCAGCAGCCCCUUCCUGCUGCCUGAAACUGACCCGCCAUCGCAGACACACGUGCAGCUGAGCCGGCGCCGCACCCCGCAGCCGGGAUGAGGCCCGCGCGUCCACCCCGGGACUAACCCCAGCUUUCUAUCCAGGUUUCGGCCAGGCAAACCCGAGAUCUGGUCAUGCCAGAGGAGGUCUGUUCCCCUGGCCAGGCUAAGCGGGGGGGGGGGGGAGAGUGUUACUUAUUGAUGAAGUGCAAGGAGAUGAAAGACCCCCCCUCGCCCCCCAGCCCUUUAGCCGCGGAUCCCGGCGCCCCCCGUGUAAUUUAAACACGGUGCUCUCGAGUGAUCAGCUCGCCUAGGGGAGAUUAGGGCGAGAUAAACAGAGCGCGCCGGACUCUUUCCCCCCGCGCCGGCCGGGUCCGCGGGCAGCUGAUGCGCCAGAUCCCACCGAGCUGUUUAAUGUUUCAGGGUUAUGACCGCACUGUUUACACGAUGUCCUCGGUAAUUUAUACUGUUAUUAUUAGCGGAGGGGCUUUAAAUUUCCGCUUCACUUGCUCCUUCGAGGUCUGCCUUGUUUGCACUUCAGGUUCGAUACCUGGCGAUUCCCUCUUGCUCCGCGAAAAUAGACCCCAGUGGAUUUAGGAGCGCUGCCUCCCGGCUCCGGACUGGACGCACAAGAAGCCCGGGUCAGGCACCCGCACCGCACAGGGGCGUGGAAACCUUCGGGAUCUACUCUGGGGCGCUGAGAGGACAAGGCAAGACCCCUGCUUUGCAGAGGAGGGGCUGGGACUGCUCAACUCCAGCCCUGGAGACGGCGAGUAAGUAUGACCACUGGCCCGACCUCUUAAGCUGGGAUGCCUGAAGUUAUGCACUUACCUUCAUACUUAGGCCCUGAUCCUGCAAACACGUACACACUGGAGGCAGAACGUGUCUCCAGUGGUCCCAGGGACACCUACGAGGCUUUUAAGGGUUUUAAAGGUAGCUGAAAAGCUUAGCAGGCUGGGGUCCUCGGAUACCCACUUUCAUCAACAGCUGCCAGUUUACGGAGAUGUGGGUGCUUAGCACCUUCGGGAAACAGAUGACUUAAUUGAAGAGCCUAAAUAUGGCUUUUUGUGUCAUAUGUUGGCAACCGUGAACACUUGUAGUCAAAGGCAAAAUCACAGUGACUUCUGUCCUCUAAAAAUCAGGCCUCUACCACCAAACAUUUUGGCCUGGGUAAAUACAUGGAUGCAUUUUGUAGUCAGCGGGUGUUUUGGUCAAGCAAGUUCUGCAGAAUUCAGGACCAGAUCUACUGUUCUUCUUUUAUAUCUUCCAGCCCUGCACACUGUAUUAUUUUUUUCUUGUGAUUCUUUAGUCUUUCUUUUUGUUUUUACAUUCCACUGCACUGUUACUUCCUGCUUUUUAUUUCUGAUCUCUCAACCCUGGAUGUAAUCUGGAGUCCUUUCUUCAAGCAAAAUCUCUUUGAAACAAGGGAGGUUGGAUCCAGCCCCAUAUUCCAUAACAAAGGUGAGAAAUCAAAUAGGAACAAGAGGGUCACAGACCCUUUAUUAUUAGAUGAUGGCCACAGAAUAAUAGCUUGUUAUCUGCUGCACUUUCCAGUGUGUUACUGAUAUUACUUCUCUUAAUUCCCUCUCCUUUACAUUUUCUUUAGAUUAGCAAAUUUUUUUUGUCCUUCAGGUAACCCAAAUCUGCUUUAAAGUGUGAUAUAUUUAAUGUGACUGACUACAAAUUGACAAAGGCACAAUGAAAGAAAGAACAUAUCUAUACCUAUUAUCCAAAAAAGGAAAAUUGUUGUUGUAAUGACUUUAAUAGCAUUCCUAUUCAAUUCACUUUCUUCACAUGCUUAGGAGUGUUUGCAAAAUUUAAAGCAAGCACCCAUAACUGGCAUAAAUUAACAUCACCCCAUUUCUUUUGUUCUGAUAUCUAUUGACUUGAGUACAUGCCCAUUUAGAUCAGCUGAAAAGGUGAUCUGGAAUAUUUUCUCAUAGUGCUAGAAGUAAAACUAGUAAAUACCUGUGGAUCACACAGCACAUCUAAGAUUCCUGCUGAAGAACUUUGCCAUAUAAAAAUGCUCAGUUAGUGGCUUCCUCUUAUUUCUACAGUCAACAGGUUUUUUGCCAUUUGUUCCAGAUCCUAUGGCUUAAACUAUAGUUAUGAGUUAUAAUGGAGGAUAUCAUGGGGAGGUUUUGUUUUGUUUUGUAUUUUAAUUACCAAAUUUGAAAAAGGAGCAACAUAUUAUCAACUCCUAUAAUCCUGAGGUAGGUCAGUAUUAACUGCUGCUUGCCCAAGACCUGAAACAAGAUACUGUUUUCCUUAUUAAUACAUUGAAGGCAGUGGGAAUUUUGGGUGAACAAAGAGGGCAGAAUUCAGCCAUAAAUUUUCUAUGGUAACACAUUGCACUUUCUAAUCACCCUCUUUCUCAAUAAUUACUAAAUUCAUUCAAUUUAUCUCCGUGCCUUUUUUAUCCAGCAGAUGUACAGAUUAGAAGCUAGAAUUUCCAAGAAGGUUUGAUGCUUAAAAUGUAGCAAGGAAAGGAAAUCAGGAGAAAUACAACAACCUGUCACAGAAAUAAGAGAGAUGCAAUUGUAACCUUGCCUAAACCCAAAUUAAAAGAAAGGCAGAGCAAAAGAUUCAUGUGCAAACAACUGUUUCAAGGAGGGAGAAUCUUCAGUCUUCUUCUUGGAUAGUACUUUAUUCUGUCAGUCAUUCAGGCUACCUAUGAAUAAAGUCAUCCACAUGUUCCCAAGAGAGAGCAACUGUGUAACAAGCAUAAAGGCAAAUGUUAACUUUAUUUACUGGACAAAAAAGUCAAAUGUUUCUCUUUACCUGUACUUUUGAGGUAAAGGGUAUGGUUUUCAAAGGUAUUUAAGUGCUUUAGGAACAUAACACGUUUACAUAUUUAAUAAAUGUUUAUUCCUAGUCACAACAACCAGUCAAGCACUCAUUUCUAAAAUAUCUAAACCUGGAUAUCUGACACAUUUCUAAAAUGGGGUGAAAUUUUUAAGGCAACAUUUUUUGUAAUUCAGCUGAAACAAUUCAGGGAUUUGUAUCAAAUUCCUUGAAUUGUUUAGGCUGAAAAAAGGUUAAGAAAUAUUCAUUUAGAAUUUUUUUAACAAAGGAUUUUCUUUUUUACAUUUUUUUAAUGACAUUUUCUUUUUAAAUUUAUCUCUUUCAUUUUCUUUAAAAAAGAAGGGGAGGGGGAAAGAGCCCCACAAUAAAAUGGUUAAUU